UAUCUCUGUAGAGUCUGCAUAUCAAUAAGCGGAGGAAAAGAAACUAACUAGGAUUCCCUUAGUAACGGCGAGUGAAGCGGGAAGAGCUCAAAUUUGAAAUCUUCAAGGGUUUACCUUUACGAAUUGUAGUUUAAAGAAGUGUUUUCUGUUGAGUUUCGGUAAAAGUUCUUUGGAAUAGGACAUCAUAGAGGGUGAGAAUCCCGUAUUUGACCAUUACUUCCAGCGUUGUGAUACACUUUCAAAGAGUCGGAUUGUUUGGGAAUGCAGUCCAAAAUGGGUGGUAAAUUUCAUCUAAAGCUAAAUACUGGCGAGAGACCGAUAGCGAACAAGUACCGUGAGGGAAAGAUGAAAGGAACUUUGAAAAGAGAGUUAAACAGUACGUGAAAUUGUCAAAAGGGAAGCGUUUGACACCAGUGUUGUUUUCUCGAAAAUCAAUUAAAAAUGGCCGGAUUUUGUGUUGUAUUGACUUUAUCAGCUUUCUGCACUUUUUUCUUGUCUUUUUUAAUGCACUUUUCGUUUAACAAGUCAACAUCAAUUUCUUUUGUUGUAAAAGAGUCAUUGGAAGGUGGCUUUCACUUCGGUGAAAGUGUUUAUAGCCUUUGGCUUCUGCAAUCGGAGAGAUUGAGGUCUGCAGCGUAGAUCCUUCGGGGUUAGAUACGUAGAUGCUAAGUUAUAGUUUUUCAUAGACAACUUGUUGACUAUGAUUAAUCAUGUAGCUUACUCGUUUGCGCUAUUUUACCUACGCUUAGGAUGUUGAUCUCUCACAGUCGAGC
rnacentral:rRNA from 1 species